GAUGAACGCUGGCGGCGUGCCUAAUACAUGCAAGUCGAGCGAACAGAUGAGGAGCUUGCGCCUCUGACGUUAGCGGCGGACGGGUGAGUAACACGUGGAUAACCUACCUAUAAGACUGGGAUAACUUCGGGAAACCGGAGCUAAUACCGGAUAAUAUAUUGAACCGCAUGGUUCAAUAGUGAAAGACGGUUUUGCUGUCACUUAUAGAUGGAUCCGCGCCGCAUUAGGUAGUUGGUAAGGUAACGGCUUAUCAAGGGAACGAUGCGUAGCCGACCUGAGAGAGUGAUAGCCCACCCUGGAGCGGAGACGCGCUCAAGGCUCCUGCGGGAGGCCCCAGUCGGGAACCUUCCGCAGUGGGGGAAAGCCUGACGGAGCAGCGCGGCGUGAGUGGUGGAGAUGCUGGGAUCGUAAAGCCCUGUUAUUAGGGAAAAACCAAUGUCUACGUAACUAUGCCCUUCUUGACGGUACCUGAUAAAGAAGCCCCGGCUAACUACGUG
rnacentral:rRNA from 1 species